CUCCUUCGGGGUCCGAGUUGUAAUUUGCAGAGGAUGCUUCGGUUGCGGCCCCCAUCUAAGUACCCUGGAACGGGUCGUCAUAGAGGGUGAGAAUCCCGUAUGGGAUGGGGUGUCCGCGUCCGUGUGAAGCUCCUUCGACGAGUCGAGUUGUUUGGGAAUGCAGCUCUAAAUGGGUGGUAAAUUUCAUCUAAAGCUAAAUACUGGCCGGAGACCGAUAGCGCACAAGUAGAGUGAUCGAAAGAUGAAAAGCACUUUGAAAAGAGAGUUAAACAGCACGUGAAAUUGUUGAAAGGGAAGCGCUUGCGAUCAGACUCGCCUACGGGGUUCAGCCGGCUUUCGGGCCGGUGUACUUCCCCGUGGGCGGGCCAGCGUCGGUUUGGGCGGCCGGUCAAAGGCCCCUGGAAUGUAGCGCCUCUCGGGGCGCCUUAUAGCCAGGGGUGCAAUGCGGCCUGCCUGGACCGAGGAACGCGCUUCGGCACGGACGCUGGCAUAAUGGUCGUAAGCGACCCGUCUUGAAACACGGACCAAGGAGUCUAACAUCUACGCGAGUGUUCGGGUGUCAAACCCGUGCGCGGAGUGAAAGCGAACGGAGGUGGGAGCCCCCUCGCGGGGCGCACCAUCGACCGAUCCUGAUGUCUUCGGAUGGAUUUGAGUAAGAGCGUAAAUGUGGGGACCCGAAAGAUGGUGAACUAUGCCUGAAUAGGGCGAAGCCAGAGGAAACUCUGGUGGAGGCUCGCAGCGGUUCUGACGUGCAAAUCGAUCGUCGAAUUU
rnacentral:rRNA from 1 species